GACGAACGCUGGCGGCGUGCUUAACACAUGCAAGUCGAACGGAAAGGCCUCUUUCGGGGGGUACUCGAGUGGCGAAGGGGUGAGUAACACGUGAGUAACCUGCCCUUGACUUUGGGAUAACUUCAGGAAACUGGGGCUAAUACCGGUUAGGAGUUCCUGCUGCAUGGUGGGGGUUGGAAAGUUUCGGCGGUUGUGGAUGGACUCGCGGCUUAUCAGCUUGUUGGUGGGGUAGUGGCUUACCGAGGCUUUGACGGGUAGCCGGCCUGAGAGGGUGACCGGCCACAUUGGGACUGAGAGACGGCCCAGACACCGACGGGACGCAGCAGUGGGGAAUAUUGCACAAGGGGUGGAGGCCUGAUGCAGCAACGCCGUGUGCGGGAUAACGGCCUUCGGGUUGUAAACCGCUUUCGCUCAUGACGAAGCUUUGUGUGACGGUAGUGGGUAAAGAAGCACCGGCUAACUACGUG
rnacentral:rRNA from 1 species